UACCAGCUCUCCGAGUGGUAGGGAUGAUUAUUGGGCUUAAAGCGUCCGUAGCCGGCUUAGCAAGUCUCCUGUUAAAUUCAGCGACCUAAUCGUUGAGCCGCGGGAGAUACUACUAGGCUAGGAGGCGGGAGAGGUCGACGGUACUUUCGGGGUAGGGGUGAAAUCCUAUAAUCCCGGGAGGACCACCAGUGGCGAAGGCUGUCGACUAGAACGCGCUCGACGGUGAGGGACGAAAGCUGGGGGAGCGAACCGGAUUAGAUACCCGGGUAGUCCCAGCUGUAAACUAUGCGGGCUAGGUGUUGGGGUGGCUACGGGCCACUUCAGUGCCGCAGGAAAGCCAUUAAGCCCGCCGCCUGGGGAGUACGGCCGCAAGGCUGAAACUUAAAGGAAUUGGCGGGGAGCACCACAAGGCGUGAAGCUUGCGGUUC
rnacentral:rRNA from 1 species